UCAGGACGAACGCUGGCGGCGUGCCUAAUACAUGCAAGUCGAGCGAAUCAAUAGGAGCUUGCUCCUGUUGGUUAGCGGCGGACGGGUGAGUAACACGUGGGCAACCUGCCUGUAAGACUGGGAUAACUUCGGGAAACCGGAGCUAAUACCGGAUAAUCCUUUUCCUCUCAUGAGGAAAAGCUGAAAGUCGGUUUCGGCUGACACUUACAGAUGGGCCCGCGGCGCAUUAGCUAGUUGGUGAGGUAACGGCUCACCAAGGCGACGAUGCGUAGCCGACCUGAGAGGGUGAUCGGCCACACUGGGACUGAGACACGGCCCAGACUCCUACGGGAGGCAGCAGUAGGGAAUCUUCCGCAAUGGACGAAAGUCUGACGGAGCAACGCCGCGUGAGCGAUGAAGGCCUUCGGGUCGUAAAGCUCUGUUGUUAGGGAAGAACAAGUAUCGGAGUAACUGCCGGUACCUUGACGGUACCUAACCAGAAAGCCACGGCUAACUACGUGCCAGCAGCCGCGGUAAUACGUAGGUGGCAAGCGUUGUCCGGAAUUAUUGGGCGUAAAGCGCGCGCAGGCGGUCCUUUAAGUCUGAUGUGAAAGCCCACGGCUCAACCGUGGAGGGUCAUUGGAAACUGGGGGACUUGAGUGCAGAAGAGGAAAGCGGAAUUCCACGUGUAGCGGUGAAAUGCGUAGAGAUGUGGAGGAACACCAGUGGCGAAGGCGGCUUUCUGGUCUGUAACUAC
rnacentral:rRNA from 1 species